GACUCCCAGAUGAGGAGCAUGAAGGGCUGCAGGGCAGCUUGGUGUAAGCGUAUCCCAUAUCUCUGAGUUGGGCAAAGGGGAAAGGGAGGAUGUGAAGUGCUUUAAGAGCAAUAAAACAUUAAUGGCAAUGUGCUGGUAUGAAGGCAAAGAUAUUAUUCCUCCAGCAGAGGCCCGACUGAAGUUGUUUUGUGUGUUUGAGUGAAGAAUAAUGGAGUUUUACAAACAGGCUUCAAAAGGGAAGCAGGGGCACUGCGACAUCCCGAAUGGCACAGACAGCUGCUUUUCAGAUGAAGCUGCCUGAUUUUACAGCUCUUUUGUUUGCUGCUCCUGAAGAGAAGCUGCUGUUUCUUUUAUUUUUGAAUGGAAAGCAGAGAAGGAAAUCAGAGAAAUCUAAAAAGAAAAGGAAAAAAAAAAAAGCCUGAACAGCUUCACUGCAGCAGGUGUUUUGGAUGGGAGAGCACUUCAUAAGCCCCAUGCUGGGGACAGGCUGGUGGUGAUGUGCUGGAUGACAUCACAGUGGGCAAGGGAACCAGCACUGUCAAGGGACUGGGCCAGCAGCUGCCCAUGGGAACAGGCUUGGAGGUGACCCAGCCCUCAGCUCUCUGCCUCAAUUUGCUGUUGGAUAUGCCAUUGGAUCUACCAUUGGAUUUACCAUUGGAUUUGCCAUUGGGUUUGCUGUUGGAUCUGCCUUCAGAUGUUGCUUACGAUAAAACCACCAUGAGCCUGAAAUAGCAGAUUGCUCUGCAGCAGUGGGUUUCCUUAGCCAGCAGGGCUGGCCUUGUUGAAAAAGCACUUCCCUCUCCAGUUUGGUGCUGCCUGUAAUUAACGCAAGUUCUGACUAUUUGGAGAAGGAACUGCAAAAACGAACUGCUGUCAUCGUCUCCUUGUUUUGCUGAUGUGUGAGUGCUGAAGUCAGCUCUGGGACAGACAUGGGGCUCACCUAAAGUAAGCCUGGCCUUCAAAGUGUGCAGUGACAGCUGCACGAAGGAAAUGUCUGAUAAAAGAUCACUUCAUUUCAAGACAACACUGGGAGGCUGCACCAAAUACAAGGAGUAGGAGUGGACCACGGGCUGAAGGCUCCUAUUUCUUACUAUCACAGUGGACACAUAUUACCCAGCCAGCAGACUGCCAGAACACUUUGGGGAUCACCGUGGACUCUCCUUGGGGGAAAUGAAGGUGACUGCAAGGGUCUGACACCUUGAUGCACAUUCACCCCAAGAAAUAUAGCAGCUGUACAGGGAUGGAUACAGCCAGAAGUGAGAACAAUGGAUGGGAGAGCUCAGCCAGCAGGCCAUGCACCAUCAGGGCUUCCAGUAUGUGCUGCGUGUUCCCACCUUGGACUUUCCUGCUGAUGAAGAGACAUAAACCAGUGCUAUUCUUACAGAUUGGAUUCCUGGACCACGCACCCUUGCUGGGAAGCAGCACAUCAGUGGGGAGUGCUUGCAGCACCAGGGCACAUCUGCAGAGGAUUUGCUGCUUGUGAGCCCCUCUUGCUCCACGGUGGGGGGAAAAAAUGUGAUUUUACUGUUUUUUUUCUUCCUUUUUUCCCUUCUUCUUAGCUUUACAGGCUCAGAUUUGGAAGCUUUCCCAGUUUUCUUGCAAAUAAAACUGCUAGCCAGUCUGUGGAGCGUUGGAAGAGGAAUCUCAGGAACGUGGGAGCUCUCUGUGGAGCUGCUCUGGGGUUUCUCCCAGUGCUGCCUUUAAAUGCUCCUCAGGCAAUGGUUGCUCUGCACAUCUCUGAGUGUUUCAGACAAAGGGGACCCAACAGCUGAUUUUUCAUCAAGAUUGGCAAAACAAAAAUCACAUGAAAAAGCCAGCACCGGGCUCUGUAGCUGCAGAAUAAAAUGAUGGAAGCAUCAGAAUUAUGUUCUGCAUAGCAAGUGUGGGACGAGACAAACACCAACAACAGUCCCAUUGCAGUUUGCAAAAUGCCUCGGUGCAUCUUCGUGUCCUGCUUCAAUGUCACCACGUGUUGGAUGCAGGGAAGCAGCUUCCUGGCGUUGAGCAAACAGAGAUCCCCCCCAGGAUGAGAUGGAAGGAUAUGGGGUCUCCCAGGCUGUGAGCUCUGAAACGUGCAAAUCCAGCAGGAGAUGUUCCUUUCUUGCUGUUUCCCAUGUACGGGAAGGAUAUGGUGACUAAUCACGAAGUUUUACUGAACAAAGCUAAUGGGCACCGUGUUUCCUAUUUUGCAGGGCUGCAGCCAGGUCAGGAAUGUGGUGAGUCCUGGGAAGGAGAAGUUUUCUUGGGGCCAGAGAGGUGCAAUGCCACUGCUGGGAUAAUCCAUUUCCUCCAGGCUGCUGCCUUGAAGAUGUCAAGGAUUUGGGUAAAAAUAGAAAAGAGAAAAAUGACAUCCUGGAUGAGGGGAAAGCAGGAAAGCAAUAAGCAAAGCCCAGCGCCGGCCUUUUAGUACCUAAAGGGAGGAUGUAAGAAAGAAGGGGAAAGAUUCUCUAGCAGAGUCUGCUGGGAUCGGCCAAGGGGGAAUGGUUUCAAAUGAAAAGAGGGGAGAUUUAGUCUGGAUAUAAGGAUAAAGUCUUCUGCAGUAAGAAUGGUGAGGCACUGGCACAGGUUGCCCAGAGAGGUGGUGGAUGCCCCAUCCCUGCAGACACCCAAGGUCAGGCUGGAUGGGGCUCUGAGCACUGAUGGAGCUGAGGGUGUCCCUGCUCAUUGCAGGGAGGUUGAACCAGAUGGCCUUUAAGGGUCCUUUCCAACUCAAACAGCCUGUUUUCUUAGGGUUAUUCCUGUUUUCCCUUGCCACACUGCUAUGCACAUUGGGAUACUGCAAGCUGGGAACCGAGGUCCUGAGGCAUUUGGGUGAACCCAGGAUGGAGAUAUGGGAGUGGAGGGAUAUGGAUAUGGAUAUGGAUAUGGAUGUGGAUGUGGAUAUGGAUAUGGAUAUGGAUAUGGAUAUGGAUAUGGAUAGUG